UGGUGAGUAUAGCCAUGGGGGUACACCUAGUUACAUUCCGAACCUAGAAGUUAAGCCCAUAUACGCUGAUGGUACUUGGCUGGAAGCGGCCUGGGAGAGUAUGGAUUUGCCAAGCA
rnacentral:rRNA from 1 species